CAAUAGCGUAUAUUAAAGUUGUUGCAGUUAAAAAGCUCGUAGUUGGAUUUCUGGUUUGAUGCCCUGGCCCGCUGCCAUUUUGGUAGUGUGUGCCGGUUGUGCGUCUGCCAUCCUUCUAGGGAACGUUCCUUCUCUUCAUUGAGCCGGGUACGUGAUGUAAAUCUUUUACUUUGAAAAAUUAGAGUGUUUAAAGCAGGCAUUUGCUAUGAAUACAUUAGCAUGGAAUAAUAAGAUAGGACUUCGGAACUAUUUUGUUGGUUUGCGUUACGAAGUAAUGAUUAAUAGGGACAGUUGGGGGUAUUCGUAUUUCGUUGUCAGAGGUGAAAUUCUUGGAUUUCCGAAAGACGAACUACUGCGAAAGCAUUUACCAAGGAUGUUUUCAUUAAUCAAGAACGAAAGUUAGGGGAUCGAAGACGAUUAGAUACCGU
rnacentral:rRNA from 1 species